CCUCCACACACAUCCUGAGACCUGAUGGGACGUGGAAUCACUAUAGGAGCAAUGGGCUGGAGAACCUGUUGACUGACUGAGCUGGCUUGGUCAGCUGGGGAGGUAGCUCAUUGCUACACAGCUGGCUUAAAUAAAGUGUGAAACCCUGGCUUCAACCCUCAGUAAAUAAACAAGAACUGAGAGAUA